GUCCCCUCUCAAGACGCUGAAUCCCGCGAAAUGUGUCUUCAGUCCCUCAUCAAGGCCCCUACCACGAGAAUACCACAGGCCCUUUCAAGACCCCCACUCACACCAGCAGAAGGCCCCCGGGAACCUGGACACGCACACGUACGGAAUAUCAAGUACCUCAUGAAGCGGAGAUUGAGCAAGAAAUCGUGAAUGAAGAAGAUUCCUCCCACCCCGUCAUCAGGAUCAUCGCCAUCGACAGCCCAGUCAGUUGGCCGUCGACGUCACUCUCGUUACGCCGUCGCACUCGUAUCGAAAUAUAGUAUUUUGAUUUUAAUUGGAACGAGAAUAAAAUCGAUAGGUGGCCUUGAGGGAUCUUUAAAGGGAUCGCCGGAGGAUCCCUCCGGUGGCAGAAGAUAUUGGGACGACAAUUCUUGAUACGUUUGCAAUGACAACAAUCAAUUCGCUGCUCCAUCAUCUCUCGCGCUAGAAUGAUACAUUAGAGUCGCAGUUGGCAUCGGAUACAAUUGAAAAAGCAACACCUACCCACGCACUCCAAUGCUGUAGAAAGAAACCGAGAUUAACACAGACGUAUACACAAGUGUGGGCAGAUUAUUUUUGUAUUUCAGCACAUCAGCCUGUUACAUCUGUCUCUCUCUGGUUCUCUCGCUCCUAAAAAUGCAAAUUACUGGCAUAACUGACGUCCUCAACCGCGCUUUUCAGCCAAGUCUCAUCUCUCUAGAGAUAAACCUGGUGUGGAUGAGGUUAAGAAAUUGGUCGGCGUAUGGGAGAAGAUUAAAUUGGAAUGUCCCUCCGCCAAUCGGGAAAACACCCGGAUUUCUUCAUCAUUUAGCACUUGUGACGCCCAAAUUGUGCGGAGUUUAUCAGUUUAUCAGUUGGGAGAACAUCCGAUGCACAAUCGGAAGGUCUCGGGUUCAAACCCCGAUCUGGUUUCAGUUACUUCAUCGUCUCCAGUAUCAACUGCUAAACUCCUGGACAAAUCUAACCCCUCGAAAGGAUCGACUUGGAAGAGGGCUUAUGGAGUCCACUUCAACCCUCUUCUGUUGCUCCAACAGCAUUCGAUAAUAUCGCAGGAGUGUUUCCUCGCAAUUUGCGGUCCUUUUGUCUCAAGGAUCCCCAGGUUCACCUUGGAUAAAGGGCCAUGGUUAUAUACUUCGGAUUUCCUCCCCCCUCCUGCGCCCCACCUCCACUCGUGAUCCUUGAAAACCUGAGUAAUGCGGGGAGAGCCCCAUUGUUUCUGGUCAAAGGAAGUGCACGAUCAUUUGGAGCCCAGGAUUCAGCAGUUCGAGGGAAUAUUAAUUAUCAUCUGAGUGGCCCACUCGUAAUCACAGGGUGAUAUUUACUUUGUUCUUGUCAUAAUUGAUUUAUUAGAAUUUUUAUACUCACGAAGUGGUGGGGAUAUUCCUCGUGAAUAUGGAAAUCCGAUGAAUCAGAAUUUUUUUUAAUCGCUCCAGUGGCAUCGAUUUCCCGUCAUCGGAGUUUAUUUUUCGCACAGGUGAGAGCUGAAGUUGAAAUUAUGGGUCUGUUUAACGGCGAAUGGCAAUUACCGA